rnacentral:misc_RNA from 1 species
UGGCUCUGGCAUCGAUGAAGAACGCAGCGAAAUGCGAUAUGUAAUGUGAAUUGCAGAAUUCAGUGAAUCAUCGAAUCUUUGAACGCACAUUGCGCCCGCCAGUAUUCUGGCGGGCAUGCCUGUUCGAGCGUCAUUUCAACCCUCAAGCCCCCGGGCUUGGUGUUGGGGAUCGGCAGCAGGGCUCUCGCCCGCCGUCCCCCAAAUUCAGUGGCGGUCACGUCGCGGCCUUCUAUGCGUAGUAGCAACACCUCGCACUGGAGCCCGUCGUGCCCACGCCGUAAAACCCCCGACUUUUUUCAGGUUGACCUCGAAUCAGGUAGGACUACCCGCUGA